GUAGGGAAUAUUGGACAAUGGGCGGAAGCCUGAUCCAGCCAUGCCGCGUGUGUGAAGAAGGCCUUUUGGUUGUAAAGCACUUUAAGCGAGGAGGAGGCUCCUUUAGUUAAUACCUAAAGAGAGUGGACGUUACUCGCAGAAUAAGCACCGGCUAACUCUGUGCCAGCAGCCGCGGUAAUACAGAGGGUGCGAGCGUUAAUCGGAUUUACUGGGCGUAAAGCGUGCGUAGGCGGCUUUUUAAGUCGGAUGUGAAAUCCCUGAGCUUAACUUGGGAAUUGCAUUCGAUACUGGUUGGCUAGAGUAUGGGAGAGGAUGGUAGAAUUCCAGGUGUAGCGGUGAAAUGCGUAGAGAUCUGGAGGAAUACCGAUGGCGAAGGCAGCCAUCUGGCCUAAUACUGACACUGAGGUGCGAAAGCAUGGGGAGCAAACAGGAUUAGAUACCCUUGUAGUCC
rnacentral:rRNA from 1 species